rnacentral:rRNA from 1 species
GAUGAACGCUAGCUACAGGCUUAACACAUGCAAGUCGAGGGGAAACGACAUCGAAAGCUUGCUUUUGAUGGGCGUCGACCGGCGCACGGGUGAGUAACGCGUAUCCAACCUGCCCACCACUUGGGGAUAACCUUGCGAAAGUAAGACUAAUACCCAAUGAUAUCUCAAGAAGACAUCUGAAUGAGAUUAAAGAUUUAUCGGUGAUGGAUGGGGAUGCGUCUGAUUAGCUUGUUGGCGGGGUAACGGCCCACCAAGGCGACGAUCAGUAGGGGUUCUGAGAGGAAGGUCCCCCACAUUGGAACUGAGACACGGUCCAAACUCCUACGGGAGGCAGCAGUGAGGAAUAUUGGUCAAUGGGCGAGAGCCUGAACCAGCCAAGUAGCGUGCAGGAUGACGGCCCUAUGGGUUGUAAACUGCUUUUAUAAGGGAAUAAAGUGAGCCUCGUGAGGCUUUUUGCAUGUACCUUAUGAAUAAGGACCGGCUAAUUCCGUGCCAGCAGCCGCGGUAA